rnacentral:rRNA from 1 species
GUGGGGAAUAUUGGACAAUGGGGGGAACCCUGAUCCAGCCAUGCCGCGUGUGUGAAGAAGGUCUUCGGAUUGUAAAGCACUUUAAGUUGGGAGGAAGGGCAGUAAGUUAAUACCUUGCUGUUUUGACGUUACCGACAGAAUAAGCACCGGCUAACUUCGUGCCAGCAGCCGCGGUAAUACGAAGGGUGCAAGCGUUAAUCGGAAUUACUGGGCGUAAAGCGCGCGUAGGUGGUUUUGUAAGUUGGAGGUGAAAUCCCCGGGCUCAACCUGGGAACUGCCUCCAAAACUGCAUGACUAGAGUACGGUAGAGGGUAGUGGAAUUUCCUGUGUAGCGGUGAAAUGCGUAGAUAUAGGAAGGAACACCAGUGGCGAAGGCGACUACCUGGACUGAUACUGACACUGAGGUGCGAAAGCGUGGGGAGCAAACAGGAUUAGAAACCCCUGUAGUCC